rnacentral:rRNA from 1 species
AGGGCGUAUGGUGGAUGCCUACGCACCAAAUGGCGAUGAAGGACGUGGCGAACUGCGAUAAGCCUCGGUUAGCUGUAAGCGAGCAUUAACCCGGGGAUUUCCGAAUGGGGCAACCCGGCAGGUUGGAGACCUGUCAUCCGGCGCAAGCCGGAAGCGAACGUGGUGAACUGAAACAUCUUAGUAGCCACAGGAAGAGAAAGUAACAACGAUUCCCUCAGUAGUGGCGAGCGAACGGGGAAGAGCCUAAACCGGCCAUGAGGCCGGGGUAGUGGGACAGCGACAUCUGGGACAAACUUAUAGACGAACAGAUCUGGAAAGGUCGACCGCAGGGGGUGAUAGUCCCGUAGUUGAAAUAGGUUUGUUUUGGUAGCUGUAUCCCGAGUAGCCCGGGGCACGAGAAACCCUGGGUGAAUCCGCGGGGACCAUCCCGUAAGGCUAAAUACAUUUGGUGACUGAUAGCGUAGCAGUACCGUGAGGGAAAGGUGAAAAGGACCCCGGGAGGGGAGUGAAAUAGAACCUGAAACCGUAUGCCUACAAGCGGUCAGAGCUGGCGCCAACGCUUCACUGUGUGAGGAUAUCGGACAAUGAUCUGUCGAGCAUGACUUGGAGAUUGUUGAUUUGAUGAUUUUCGCAGUGAACCGUUGGCGCUGGUGAUGGCGUGCCUUUUGCAUAAUGAGCCGACGAGUUAAUGUUAUAAGCGAGGUUAAGUGUUACAGGCACGGAGCCGUAGCGAAAGCGAGUCUUAACAGGGCGCAGAGUUUAUGGCAUUAGACCCGAAACCGGGUGAUCUACCCAUGGUCAGGUUGAAGGUUGGGUAAAACCAACUGGAGGACCGCACCAACCGUCGUUGAAAAGGCGGUGGAUGAACUGUGGGUAGGGGUGAAAGGCCAAACAAACCCGGAGAUAGCUGGUUCUCUCCGAAACAUAUUUAGGUAUGGCCUCAGGCGGAUAUUAACGGAGGUAGAGCACUGAAUGGGCUAGGGGGCUCACACGCUUACUGAACCCAAUCAAACUCCGAAUGCCGUUAAUCAAUACCUGGGAGACAGGGCGUGAGGGAUAAGCUUCACGUGCGAGAGGGGAACAACCCAGACUGUCAGCUAAGGUCCCCAAAUAGAUGCUUAGUGCUUAAGGAUGUUCAAUUGCUCAGACAGCCAGGAUCUUGGCUUAGAAGCAGCCACGAUUUAAAGAGUGCGUAACAGCUCACUGGUCGAGUGGUAGAGCACCGAAGAUGAUCGGGACUUAAGCAUCUUACCGAAGCUGCGGAGCAGCGUCAAUUUGAUAUUUCAAAUUAUGGCUAUAGAUAUUUGAGGUCUCAAAUUGACGCUGCUGGUAGGAGAGCAUUGUGAAUGCGCCGAAGGUGUACUGCGAGGUAUGCUGGAGCGUUCACAAGAGACCAUGUCGGCAUGAGUAACGAUAAUGCAGGCGAGAAACCUGCACACCGCAAGCCCGAGGAUUCCUGAGUAAAGCUAAUCUGCUCAGGGUUAGUCGGCCCCUAAGGUAUAGCGUAUGGCGAAGCCGAUGGGAAUCAGGUUAAUAUUCCUGAACCUGUGUGUGAUGCGAUGGAGUGACGCGACGGUGCAGCGGGGACGGCUGCUGGAAUAGCCGUUGAACUCGUGUAGGAGGUGGCACAGGCAAAUCCGUGCCGCACAAACUCCGAGGCGAGGGACGAGGUCUUGGACCGCAAAGUCCGUGUAUAAACGUCGCCGAGAAAUAGCUUCUAAGCUUCAGUCACACACAGACCGUACCGCAAACCGACACAGGUGGGCGAGGAGAAUAUCCUAAGGUGUUCGAGCGAACUCUGGUUAAGGAACUAGGCAAAAUUACCCCGUAACUUCGGGAGAAGGGGUGCCCCGUUAUCGUUAGGGUGAACAGCCCCAAGCGAGAGGGGGCCGCAGUGAAGAGGCCCAAGCGACUGUUUAUCAAAAACACAGGUCUAUGCGAAGGCGAAAGCCACGGUAUAUAGACUGACACCUGCCCGGUGCCGGAAGGUUAAAUGGAGAGGUCAUCCCUGUUCCACUAAUUUUCCUGGAUCUACAUUCUGCUUACAGUUUCGAGUUCGAUACAAAGAAGCGUUAAGGAAUGCUAUUUUCAGGCAGAUCAGUGGAGCGGGGAGAAGCUUCGAAAUGAAGCCCCGGUAAACGGCGGCCGUAACUAUAACGGUCCUAAGGUAGCGAAAUUCCUUGUCGGGUAAGUUCCGACCUGCACGAAUGGUGUAACGAUUUGGGCGCUGUCUCAACCAGGGGCUCGGUGAAAUUGAAGUAGCGGUGAAGAUGCCGCUUACCCGCGAACGGACGGCAAGACCCCGUGAACCUUUACUGCAACUUGGCAUUGUAAACUGGUGCAUUAUGUGUAGGAUAGGUGGGAGGCUUUGAAGCGUGCACGCCAGUGUGCGUGGAGCCAACGUUGAAAUACCACCCUUAUUGUAUUGGUUUACUAACGGUAUUGAAGAUACCGGACAUUGCCAGGUGGGCAGUUUGACUGGGGCGGUCGCCUCCGAAACAGUAACGGAGGCUUACCAAGGUUCCCUCCGGCUGGUUGGUAAUCAGCCAUAGAGUAUAAAGGCAGAAGGGAGCUUAACUGCGAGACUGACGGGUCGAGCAGGUUGGAAACAAGGUCUUAGUGAUCCGGCGGUCCUGAAUGGAAGGGCCGUUGCUCAAAGGAUAAAAGGUACUCCGGGGAUAACAGGCUGAUACCGCCCAAGAGUUCACAUCGACGGCGGUGUUUGGCACCUCGAUGUCGGCUCAACUCAUCCUGGGGCUGAAGAAGGUCCCAAGGGUUCGGCUGUUCGCCGAUUAAAGAGUUACGCGAGCUGGGUUCAGAACGUCGUGAGACAGUUCGGUCCCUAUCCUUCGUGGGCGCAGGAAAUUUGAGGAGAUCCGCAUUUAGUACGAGAGGACCGGUGUGGACGAACCUCUGGUCUACCGGUUGUGACGCCAGUUGCAUUGCCGGGUAGCCACGUUCGGUGAGGAUAACCGCUGAAAGCAUCUAAGCGGGAAGCCAACUCCAAGAUAAGAUUUCCCAAUCAGACAGGUUGGAGACUACAACCUUGAUAGGUCACAGGUGUAAGCGCGGCAACGCGUUCAGCCGAGUGAUACUAAUCAGUCGAAUGGCUUUCAC